UGCAGAAUAGGCAUCUCAAACUUGCUGCUUUUUCAGGCCAGAAUUCCAGCUGCCGGCAUUCUCCCUCUUCAUGUAAACCUUGCAAAAUAAGAUAGAAAAGGCAUAAGUAUUGUACCAUGAAGUGAAAUAACAGCCCAAAAAGCAAUAAAUAACAACAUGAAAGCAUGAUGCAAAAUCGACAUAUCAACUCCCCCAAGCUUAGACCUCGCUUGUCCUCAAGCGAAAGCCGAGCUCAAUAAAUAUGCCCACAUGUUUAGGGAGAGAGGUGUCGACAAAACAAGAUACAAAUAUGCAGGCAUCAUGAUCAUUAUCAGAACAACAAUACCGUCAUAUAAUCUCUCAUGCUAAAGUGACAAUUCCAUCACAAUGUAAAGUAUCGAUCAAGAACCUUACCGAGAAUUAGCAACCGAUAGCCUUUAGUCAUUGAAGCAAUUGCAAUUUAUCAUAACAUCAGAAAGAGUCAAAGAGCUUGUAAAGCAAAUCCACAUACUCAAUCAUCUUUUCAUUCUCUACAAUUGCUAUAACUCACGUGGUACUCAUGAAAUCAAAGUUUCAACUGAACACAGAGAAAGAUAGGGGCUUAUAGUUUUGCCUCCCAACUGCUUACCUCAAGGGUAAUGUCAACAAUAAUAAUUCAUGAAUUCUUACCUCCAAGUUGACAUAUGAAUAUAGAUCUUUCCCUAGCAUAUGACGUUAGCCAAGAUAAAGGCGAAACAAGGAAUUGGUGAAGAUCACCAUGACUCUUUCAAGGGCAAAAAGUAAAGGUACAAGAUAGGCCCUUCGCAGAGGGAAGUAGAGGUUGUCAUGCGCUUUUGAGGUUUGGAUGUCUGUCCUCUUAGUGCGGAGGAACGUCACUUUACAUUGCCUCCUGUGAUAAAGAACUUUAUUAUGCAGUCUGUCGCUUUUAUGUCUUCCUCAUCACAGGUUCGUACAAAGCUUAUUUUCCACACACUAAUAGAUCAUACAUAUUAGGGAGCAAUUUUUAUUGCUUGCACCGAUGACAACUUACUUGAGGGAUCUUAUUCAAUCCAUAGGUAGGUAUGCUGGAAUCUCAUGGCAAAACUAGGUUGAAGGUUUAUGGAUGCACAAGUAGUAUCUCUACUUGGUGCGGGAGUUUUGGCUAAUAUGAGGUGGAAGCAAUCGUCACAUGCUAAGGGAUCUCUAGUCAUAUAACAUUGUUCGGAACCAAGCAAACAAAAUUCAUUAUGUUGUCUUCCUUGUCCAACAUCUACUUCUAAGCAUGCAAUAGUUUGGUGAGUGUUCACAAUCAUAAAUGGUGUCAAAGAUGAUAUAUUUAUAUGUGAACCUCUCCUUCUUUAUCACUUCCUAUUAAUUGCAACAAUGACCAAGGUCUACGUUUGUCUACCCUCAACAAGUUUCAACCAACAUUCUUUUUAUAUGUGAAGCCAUCACUUCCCAUAAGAUCAUUACAUGAUCUUUCAUGCUUUUGUUCUUUUCUCACUCUUUUGAUCAUGGUAAGAGGCAAAGCCCUCAACUAAGACACUCUUUAUUAUAUGGCUCACGAGCUCGAGUACAUCUGGGGUGACACAAAGCAAAACUAAAGACUAAAACACUAAGACUUUAAUCUACUAGAGAAAUAGAAAACUGAAAAGGAACACUAAAACAAAGGUAAAGGCAAAAGAUGUGAUGGUGAUACGAUACCGGGGCAAGUCCCCCAAGCUUGGCACAAGCCAAGGGGAUUGCCCAUACCCAUGCUUAGUUGUCUUCCUUUGGAGGUGAUGGUGAUGGAGUUGUUGCAACAUGGGUUUGAUCCUCCGUCUUCCAAGGCAUAGGUGCUCCAUCAUGGAAAGAUGAACGAGUCUCCGGAAUCCUCAAAUCUGCAGCCAACCGUAUUGAUUUAAAUCUAUACUCAUACUCACAGUUUUGGUUCUGCAAGUCAUAGAUCUGGGCUUGGAGGUGAUCAAUCCUGUCAUAGAGCCUGGAGAGGUGCUUCCCAAUGUCAUUAGCAUCAAUCUUGUGCUUGCUAGUGAACUCCGUGGUCAUCAUGUGGUUGGCGUUGAGUCCACUCUCCACCAUCCCUUGGCACUUGAAGACCUGUUGCUCCAUUGCUUCGAGCCUCGCCUCCACGCUUCCAGUCUUCUUAGGCCCCUCAACAUCACGGAUGUUCAACAUCCCCUCACGCAACUCGAUAGAUUGAGGGUGUCGCAGCACUCCCGUGAGGUAGGGAUUGAUGACCUUCUCAAAGAUCUUGUCCUUCGGAGCUUUUGGGGACGUCAUAGCAAUCUAGGUCUGCAACAGAAACAUGCUCGAAACGAAAACACAGGAAAUCAGCUUGAUACGAGGGUCAGACCUUACGGGAGAAUAUAUAAUGAUUUUUUCCAGACCAGAAGGACUACUCCGCACGAAAACGGAGUCCAGGAGGCACACGAGGUGGACACAAGCCCCCCUGGCUCGGCCAGGGGGUGGCCCCGCACCUGGCAGGCUUGUCGCCUCCUCACGCGCUUUUCGGACUACUUCCAAUUUUUCUAUUUUUUCAAAUUUUCCAAAACGGAGAAAAAUUCCUACUGGAAAAGUUUUGGAGUCUGUUUCCUUACCUAAUCACAUACCUCUUCAUUUUCGGAGUCUGAAACAGGCUGAUAAAUAUUCCUUAGGUAUUCUUCCGGAGUUAUGGUAUUGAUGAUAUUGCUUUCAACAUUUAUGGGAGUACCUGAGAUAUAAUGCUUGAUCCUCUGCCCAUUUACAACUCUCGGACAAUUACUUCCGUGUUGUUGAUCUUGAUAGCACCGGAACGAUAUACUUCCCCAACAAUAUAGGGACCUUCCCAUUUAGAGAGAAGCUUGCGUGCAAAAAAUCUUAAACGAGAAUUAUAUAGCAAGACAUAAUCACCUACAUUGAACUCACACUUUUGUAUCCUCUUAUCAUGCCACCUCUUAACCUUUUCUUUGAACAACUUGGCAUUUUCAUAUGCCUGAGCUCUCCAUUCAUCAAGCGAGCUAAUGUCAAAUAACCUCUUCUCACCAACAAGUUUGAAAUCAAAGUUGUGCUCUUUGAUUGCCCAAUAAGCUUUAUGCUCUAGCUCAAGAGGUAAAUGGCAUGCUUUACCAUACACCAUCUUGUACGAAGACAUGCCCAUGGGAUUCUUAUAGGCAGUUCUAUAAGCCCAUAGUGCAUCAUCGAGCUUCUUAGACCAAUUCUUUCUAGACCUGUUGAUAGUCUUUUGCAGAAUUAGUUUAAUUUCUCUAUUUCUUAGCUCUACUUGACCACUGGACUGAGGGUGAUAGGGGGACGCGAUUCUAUGGUUGACAUCGUACUUAGCAAGCAUUUUACGGAAAUCACCAUGAAUGAAAUGUGAACCACCAUCGGUCAUUAGAUAUCUAGGGACUCCAAAUCUAGGGAAAAUAACCUCUUUAAGCAUCCUCAUAGAGGUGUUGUGAUCAACACUACUAGUCGGGAUAGCUUCUACCCACUUAGUGACGUAAUCAACAGCAACUAGGAUAUGAGUAUACCCGUUGGAAUUCGGAAAAGGUCCCAUAUAAUCAAAGCCCCAGACAUCAAAUGGUUCAAUGGCAAGUGAAUAAUUCAUAGGCAUUUCCUGACGUUUACCGAUAUUACCUAUUCUUUGACAUUCGUCACAAGAUAAGACAAACUUACGGGCAUCCUUAAAGAGAGUGGGCCAACAGAAACCUGAUUGCAAUACCUUGUGUGCAGUUCUAUCUCCCGCAUGGUGUCCUCCGUAGGCCUUGGAGUGACACUUCUGUAGGAUCUGUCCCUGUUCAUGUUCAGGUACACAACGUCUAAUAACACCAUCUACUCCUUCCUUAUAAAGGUGAGGAUCAUCCCAAAAGUAAUGGCUCAAGUCAAAGAAGAAUUUCUUCUUUUCGUGGUACGUGAAACUAGGUGGUAUAUAUUUGGCAACGAUAUAGUUUGCAUAAUCAGCAUACCACGGUGCACUACGUGAAGCAUUGAUGACAUUCAAUUGCUCAUCGGGAAAGCUAUCAUCAAUAGGCUGUGGGUCAUCAAGAACGUUCUCUAACCUAGACAAGUUAUCUGCUACGGGGUUAUCAACACCCUUCCCGUCGACAACGUGCAAAUCAAACUCUUGUAGCAAGAGAACCCAUCUGAUAAGUCUAGGUUUAGCGUCCUUCUUCUCCAUGAGGUACUUAAUAGCAGCAUGAUAAGUGUGAAUAGUGACUUUGGAAUCAACUAUGUAAGACCUGAACUUUUCACAUGCAAACACGACUGCUAAAAACUCCUUUUCCGUAGUAGCAUAGUUUCUUUGGGCACUGUCUAGAGUUUUACUAGCAUAGUGAAUAACAUUCAACUUCUUAUCAACUCUUUGCCCUAGGACAACACCAACAGCCUAAUCACUAGCAUCACACAUGAUUUCAACAGGUAAGUUCCAAUGAGGUGGUUGAACAAUGGGUGAAGUUUUCAAAGCCUUCUUUAGUAUUUCGAAGGUUUCCUCACAAUCAUCGUAAAAAACAAAAGGAAUAUCCUUUUGCAAGAGAUUGGUAAGAGGCCUAGAAAUCUUAGAGAAGUCUUUAAUGAACCUCCUAUAGAAACCAGCAUGACCAAGGAAACUUCUUAUACCUUUGAUAUCUGUGGGGUAUGGCAUUUUCUCGAUCGCAUCAACCUUAGCCUUAUCGACUUCAAUACCUCUUUCAGAAAUUUUAUGUCCUAAGAUGAUGCCUUCAUUAACCAUAAAGUGGCACUUCCCCCAAUUCAAGACAAGAUUGGCGUCUUUACAUCUCUACAAGACUUGAUCAAGGUUGCUGAGGCAAUCGUCAAAAGAAGACCCGGAAACGGAGAAGUAAUCCAUGAAAACCUCAACAAUCUUUUCACAAAAGUCAGAGAAUAUAGCCAUCAUACAUCUUUGAAAGGUGGCAGGUGCAUUACAUAAGCCAAAAGGCAUACAUCUAUAAGCAAAGGUACCGAAAGGGCAGGUGAAAGUGGUUUUCUCCUGAUCAGAUUGUGCAACAGGUAUUUGGGAGAAACCAGAAUAACCAUCUAGAAAGCAGAAUUGUGUGUGUUUAGACAAUCUUUCUAGCAUUUGGUCGAUAAAAGGCAAAGGGUAAUGAUAUUUCCUAGUGGCUUUAUUCAAUUUCCUAAAGUCGAUCACCAUCCUAUAGCCAGUAAUAAUCCUCUGUGGGAUCAACUCAUCCUUAUCAUUAGGGACAACGGUAAUUCCUCCCUUCUUAGGGACGCAAUGCACCGGACUCACCCAAUCACUAUGAGCAACAUGAUAGAUAAUACCUGCUUCCAGGAGCUUUAGUAUUUCUUUUCUCACGACUUCUUUCAUCUUAGGAUUUAAACUCCUUUGAUGAUCAACAACUGGUUUGGAAUCAGGAUCAGUUUUAAUAUUGUGCUGGCAUAGAGUGGGACUAAUGCCCUUAAGAUCAUCAAGAGUAUAUCCAAUAGCAGCACGGUGCUUUCUCAGCGUUUUUAGUAACUUGUUUUCUUCAUGCUCUGAGAGGCUAGCACUAAUAAUAACAGGAUAUAUCUCUUUUUCAUCAAGAUAAGCAUACUUCAGAGUAUCAGGAAAUUGUUUUAGCUCGAACACAGGAUCACCCUUUGGUGGGGGUGGAUCCCCUAGCAGUUCAACAUGCAAGUUAUUCUUAAGGAUAGGAUAUUGUUCUAAGACAGCCCUAUCUAUCUCAUCCCUUUCAUCCAUAUGCAUAUCAUUUUCAUGCUCAAGCAAGUAUUUCUCUAAGGGAUCAGUAGGAGGCACGGCAAUAGAAGACAAGGCAAUAGUUUCAUCCUUACUAGGCAACUCUUUUUCAUGAGGUUGUCUACCAAACUUGGAGAAAUUGAACUCGUGUGACACACCUUCAAAGCCAAAAGUGACAGUUUGCUUCUCACAGUCAAUAUGAGCAUUGACGGUAUUGAGAAAAGGUCUACCAAAUAUGAUGGGACAAAAGCUAUCUUGUGCGGUUGCAAGAACGAGGAAAUCAGCAGGAUACUUCAUUUUACCACACAAGACUUCAACAUCCCUAACAAUUCCCACAGGGCAGAUAGUAUCUCUAUUGGCAAGCUGAAUAGUGACAUCAAUAGGUUCUAUCUCAACAGGUGCAAUCUCGUCUUUAAUUUCAUCAUAUAAGGAUUGAGGUAUUGCACUAGUACUAGCACCCACGUCACAUAAACCAUGAUACAAUGAUCUCCUAUCUUAACAGAAACAACAGGCAUGCCAACAAGAGGCCUAUGUUUGUCUCUAGCGUGAGGUUUAGCAAUUCUAGCAGCAUCUUCACAGAAGUGAAUAUUAUGUCCCUCAACAUCGUCGGACAUGAGAUCUUUGAUAAUAGCAAUGCUAGGUUCAACUCUAAUUUGCUCAGGGGGUGUAGGUGUUCUAAUGUAGCCUCUACGUAUCACUGUUGAAGCUUUAGAAUGAUCCUUUAUCUUAACAGGGAAAGGUGGUUUCUCAAUGUAAGCACUCGGAACAAUAGGAUCAUUAUAGGCAAUGACUUUCUCUUCAACUGGAUUGGGUUUAACUACAUUGACUUCUAAAGGAGGAUGAUAUUUAAACAACUUCUCUUUGGGGAGAUCAGAGCAGCAAAAUAUUCACACAAUGAAGCUACUAUCUCAGAGUCAAGUCCAUACUUAGCGCUAAAAUCACUAAAGGUAUUUGUUUCAACAAAGGAUUUAACGCAAUCAAACUUGAAAUUCAUACCUGACUCCUUACCUUCUUAAAGCUCCCAAUCUUCAGAGUUGUGUUUAGUUCUCUCCAACAAAUUCCAUUUGAAGUCAAUAUCUCUCUUCAUAAAAGAACCGGUACAAGAAGUGUCAAGCAUGGUGCGAUCAUCAUGAGAAAGCCGAGCAUAGAAGUUAUGACUGAUAAUUUCUCACGAGAGCUCAUGGUUGGGGCAUGAAUACAAGAUUGAUUUAAGCCUCCCUCAAGCUUGAGCGAUGUUUUCUCUAUCACGAGGCCAAAAAUUAUAAAUAUAAUUCCGAUCACGAUGUACUAGAUGCAUAGGAUAAAACUUUUGAUGAAAUUCCAAUUUCAACCGAUUGUAGUUCCAUGAUCCAGUAUCAUCACAUAGCCUAUACCAUGUCAACGCCUUAUCCCUCAAAGAUAAGGGAAAGACCUUCAUCUUGACCUCAUCCUCGGGAAAACCUGCAAGCUUAAAUAAACCACAAACUUCAUCUACAUAGAUUAGAUGCAAGUCCGGAUGUGAUGUUCCAUCUUGUGUAAAUGGAUUAGCCAGCAGUUUCUCAAGCAUACCCGAAGGAAAUUGAAAGAAAAUAUUUUCAGUAGGUGCAGCAGGUUGAGGAGCAACUCUUUGUGCUUCCGUUCGAGGUGAAUAUACCCCGAACAAGCCCCUCGAAGGAUUAGUUUCCAUAGUGACAAGUGACAAUAAAUUUCAGCACACUAUAUGAAUGUUUCCUUACCAAGUUCCACUUACCAAAGGCGCUUCACUCCGCGGCAACGGCGCCAGAAAAGAGUCUUGAUGACCCACAAGUAUAGGGGAUCUAUCGUAGUCCUUUUGAUAAGUAAGAGUGUCAAACCUAACGAGGAGCAGAAGGAUCUGACAAGUGGUUUUCAGCAAGGUAAUAUCUGCAAACACUGAAAUUAUCGGUAACAAGUGGUUGUGUGGUGAGAUGAUUCGUAGGAAGCAACACGUAAAAAAAGUAGCAACGGUGCAGGAAAGUGGCCCAAUUCCUUUUUAGCAAGGGACAAGCCUGGACAAAGUCUUAUAGGAGGAAAAACGCUCCUGAGGACACACGGGAAUUUCUAUCAUGCUAGUUUUCAUCAUGUUCAUAUGAUUCACGUUCGAUACUUUGAUAGUUUGAUAUGUGGGUGGACCAGCGCUUGGGUACUGCCCUUACUUGGACAAGCAUCCCACUUAUGAUUAACCCCUAUCGCAAGCAUCCGCAACUAGGAAAGAAGAAUUAAGACAAAGUCUAACCAUAGCAUUAAACUAGUGGAUCCAAAUCAGCCCCUUACAAAGUAACGCAUAAACUAGGGUUUAAGGUUCUGUCACUCUAGCAACCCAUCAUCUACUUACUACUUCCCAAUGCCUUCCUCUAGGACCAAAUAAUGGUGAAGUGUUAUGUAGUCGACGUUCACAUAACACCACUAGAGGAAAAACAACAUACAACACAUCAAAAUAUCGAACGAAUACCAAAUUCACAUGACUACUCUUAGCAUGACUUAUCCCAUGUCCUCAGGAACAAAAGUAAGUACUCACAAAGCAUAAUCAUAUUCAUGACCAGAGAGGUAAUGUGUAGCAUCAAGGAUAUGAACAUAAACUCUUCCACCAAGUAAUCCAACUAGCAUCAACUACAAAGAGUAAUUAACACUACUAGCAGCCUUACAAGUACCAAUCGGAGUCGCGAGACGGAGAUUGGUUACAAGAGAUGAACUAGGAUUUGGAGAUGAGAUGGUGCUGAUGAAGAUGUUGAUGGUGAUGAGUCCCCUCCGAGGAGAGGAGUGUUGGUGAUGAUGAUGGCGACGGUUUCCCCCUCCGGGAGGGAAGUUUCCCCGGCAGGAUCUCUAGAUUGGUUCUGCUCAAGUUCUGCCUCGUGGCGGCGGCGAAUCCUCGAAAAAGCCUCCUCCCGAUUUUUUUUUGGAACAAAACCCUUCAUAUAGCAGAAGAGGGGGGCAAGUGGGCUAGCAGGAAGUCCACAAGCCCCCUAGGCGCGACCAGGGGGUGGCCGCGCCUACCAGGCUUGUGGUCCCCUGCUUACGCUCCUCUGGCACUUCUUCAGCCCAGUAUUUUUUAUAUAUUCCCAAAAAAUCCACAUUGAUUUUCACGGCUUUUGGAGUUGCGCAGAAUAGGCAUCUCAAACAUGCUCCUUUUUCAGGCCAGAAUUCCAGCUGCCGGCAUUCUCCCUGUUCAUGUAAACCUUGCAAAAUAAGAGAGAAAAAGCAUAUGUAUUGUACCGUGAAGUGAAAUAACAGCCCAAAAAGCAAUAAAUAACAACAUGAAAGCAUGAUGCAAAAUGGACGUAUCAGCGGCACUCCGGCGCCACCGGGAGAGAGGGGGAGAGAGCCCCCUCCUUCUUAUUCUUCCUUGGCCUCCCCCCUAGAUGGGAGGAGAGUUCCCCCUCUGGUCCAUGGCUUCCAUGGCGGCGGAGGGGCGAGAGCCCCUCCUAGAUUGGAUCUCCCUCUCUGUUCUCUUCUGUUUCACGCUCUCCAAAUCUGGCCCUUCACGGUUUCUAAAAUUUCCGGAGAUCUGUAACUCCGAUUGCGCUGAAACUUUUACACGAUUUUUUCCAUAAAUUAUCUUUCUUGCGCCAGAAGAAAGUCUCCAACUGACGUCCGAGGAGGGCACAAGACACCAGGGUGCGCCUAGGGCCUGUGGCGCGCCCUGGUGGAUUGUGGGCUCUAUGGGCCCCCGUUUGCAUUGAUUCCACCUCCCAAAAAUCACAUAAAUUCCAAAAUAAUUCUACGUAUAUUUUUAUCAUGUUUGGAAUUCAUUUGUUAUGGAUUUUGUGCGACACAAUAAACAUGCAAAAAAGGAACUGCCACUGGGCACAAGAUCAAUAGGUUAGUCGCAUAAAUCAUAUAAAAAGUUGCCAAAAGUAUGUGAAAGUUGUAUAAUAUUGGCAUGAAACAAUCAAAAAUUAUAGAUACGAUGGAGACGUAUCACUAGCAUUCAAAUGUCACAGAACCUUGGUCGACAUGACUAGUUAUAAACCCAAGUGGCACAUGCGUACAGGAAGAGGCAUACGUAACCCAUCAAUGCAAGUGUCGGUCAUCAACUGCAUGUAGACGAGUCAUAGCAAGAUACACAGACUCCACUACACCGUGAGACAUUUCUGUCAUCAACUACGUGUAGAUGAGUCAUAGCAGGCUACAUGGACACCAUUAAACCUUGUGACAUUUCCUCGUGGGGACACACACAUCAACAAACAAGGAUACACGUUGAUCAAUUAAUGUGUUCGGAGCAGUAGCAAGCUACCAUGGCUCUAUGGAAACACAAAGAGGCAUUUUCUACAAUGAUAGCUACUAAAGGCACACAACUAGAUGUUGAUUCCCACACAUGCAACACAUUACAAAACAUACACGCAAUAUGCACAAAUGUGUAGAUACAACAUGGCAUCACAACACUACUCUACGACUCAAGCAUUUAUGAAUGACUCAUAAGAGUUAACAUAGUGUGAUAUUACAAACAAGGGUCACAUGGCCCAACACUCAAGUCAUACAAACAACAAGCGGAAGCAUAAUAUGUCUGAGUACAGACAUCUACUAAAAGUGGUUGGAGGAACAUGAAAAUCUACAACGACCCUCCCAAAGGAGCCAGACAUCCGUCUAGGAUUCCCAAGCUAAUUUGGUUAAUGUCAAACUUCAUGUAGAAACCCUUAAUGAGACUAAGGUCUCCUCUACAAAAACAUAAUUAAGCAACCGUGAGUACAAAGGUACUUAGUAAGACUUACAUCAGAACUAUCUACUUAUGGAUCAGUAUCAGUGAAGGGGGUUGUGGAGUUUAUUGCAACAAGCUAGCAUUAACUCUUGGCUAACCUAUACUACAGCUACGAGUACUUUCUUUGAGGUAAGAGAGUGCACACGAGUCCACAUAUUCACUAGAUCAAUACACCACCGUGGAUCCACUCCCGUCUCCCUAAGAGAAGGACAUCCAUAUCACUCACACUUAUAUUGCACCUUUUAGAGUGUCCAUUUCAAUUGUCUAUGUACCACAUAAGUUUUCCAAGUAGUCCAUAUCUGAGGACGCGGCUAUUUGAACAAAUUUGUUCACCCUGCAGGGGUCUACUUCUUCACACACGCUCUCAUCACUUAUCACCAUAUGCACGUCAUGCAUCUUGGCAACCUUCAAGCGGAAGCACUGGCAUGGGCGUCGGCCACGACCAUUAACCACACAAGACCCUAGUCCAUGUUUAUCACCUAUUUGAGACUGAACCUGCAAGGAAGUUCGAUCGAAGUUUCCUCUAUGACCUCAAAUGAUGUGCACGGAGUUCCACAAGCCCACCAUUUGGGUGCCACUUGGUACAUCGUGCCACUGUGUAUCUACCACACAGAACCCAAACCCGUCGGGCAAAUCUAAAUACGAGUGCCACCACUUUUCUUACAAGCACAAGAAACUAGUUGCAACUAUUGAAUAGAGAUCUAGGCCAAUAAUAAGCCAAGAGGGAUCGAGUUACCGGAACCCAAUGUGAGGUAGUAUCUUGAGUUGGAUAACAUACACAAAACUAAGUUCUUAGGGACGUUCAUAAUGAUACAACCCGCCAUGUACUCCUAUAUAACCUCUCAUCGCUACCUUUACCAAAUCGGAUUCACACGCUUAGCUCUCACACAGUAGGACAUGAACACAUCCAUUCUCAUUCAUCGCCCAGACGGAUCAGACUCCACACGACUCUAUGCAUAGCUGGCACAGUAAGCAAGCAUGGAUGAGUAAGCACAACAAGGCUCAAGAAGUUGCUACCCAUGCUAAGUGGUUUCAACUAUUUACUAUGAUAAAGACAUGUCAUGCAAAGGAAUAGAUUUAGCUACCGAGAACAUGUAACAAUUGAAUCAUGAUUGUCCUAAUGCAAUAAAAGAGAGCAAGAGUGAGAGAGUGGGUUCAUAUCAGUAUGCUCAAGGGGGGUUGCUUGCCUGACAGAUUUGAAGAUAGAACUUCUCUUCAUCAGUGUCACUGAUCAUAACGUUGGAACCAUCGUCUAGUGAAAAGGAAUAACACCGACGAACAAGAAGAAGAAACACAUUCAAUGUGAUGCACAACCAGAUGAAUGGUAUGUCAUGUUAUGGUACUUAAUUGACCUAAUGCAACAACUCAUCAUAUUAAUUGAAGUGGAAUUCAACAUAGCUCAAAUUCCAACUCCAAAUGUUAUUUCAUAAAUUUCUCUAAUCAUGAAAUUGUCCUAGUUGAUGAUGUUAACUUACUCAAAUAUGCAUGAACAUGGCAUAAACAGAUUCUUCAUAUAUUUUUAAUCAUUUUUCAUAUAUAAUUUAUUUUCAUCUGAGUUAUAGAUAAUUUUAUAUGAAUUUUAGAAGCUUUAACCCUUAUUCGAAAUAAAUAAAUUAGUUAAGAUUUAUCUAAAUUCCAGAAUUGAAUUAUUGCGUGAGCAUGAAGUCAGUGUGAUGUGAGCAGGUCAACAUGCUGGUCAAGGUCAAACGUGACGUCAGUGUCACAGUAAAUUAACACGGUUUAAUAUAUUUAAUUAAGUCAUUAGGCUAAUUAACUCACGGGGCUGGCCCACCCGUCACUGACCAAGAUAGGUCAAACCUUAGGUUAGCGGGGUCAAUCGCUCCAGUGUUAAGCCGCCGAUGGCAGCAGAUGCGGUGGAGGGCAUCGAAAAUCGCCUUCCGACGACCAAACGAGCGACGGAGCAGCUCUACGCGUUGUGGGGCCUCGUGCGCAUCUACUGGUGGGGGUGGCAUCGCCGAAGAUGGGCCAGAGCAUUGGCAGCAACCGUAAAGGCAGCGACCGGAUCUCGGCUCGAGCUGGCUACAGGCUGCACGGCACGGGGAGGCUAGCCAAACGGCACUACGAUGUCGUGUUGUCAUCAGGAGCACGCCGGUGCCACUACUGCAAGCGGAGGAGCUCGGGAACACAAGGAUCACCGGCCAUGGAGGCGACAAGCUUCGACCAUGGCAUCACAACUAGCUAGGGGGCGCACAUGACGACAAGAAGAGAGUUAGAGAGGGGAGAGGAAGAGGGGCUUACAGUGGUUCGUAGGGGAAACAGAGCGCAACCGGGGGAGCUUGGGGGCUCGAGAAUUUGAUGUUGGUGGCCGACGGAUCCGAGGAUGAAGACAAUGGCAUAGACGGCCUUUAGGUGCUCCAGUCAUUGCGUGGCUCAUCGAGGAUGAAGCAGAGGAGGGGGCGGAUCCAUUGGACACGACGACGAGGCAAACAAGCCGCGGUGGGUGCGGUUUCUACAACGGCAUGGGCAUGGCGUUCUCACCCAUGGUGGAGGAGAGCAAGGGAGAGGGCGAGAGGGGUAGAUGAGGAGUCCGCUCGAUCACGACAUCUCCGUGGAGGCUAUCCAG
rnacentral:lncRNA from 1 species